GCGGACGGCUCAGUAACACGUAGUCAACCUAACUCGUGGACGUGGAUAACCCCGGGAAACUGAGAAUAAACCACGAUAGAUCAUAGUGCCUGGAAUGGCUUAUGGUCCAAACAGUUUACUGCCAUGGGAUGGGACUGCGGCCUAUCAGCUUGUUGGUGAGGUAAUGGCCCACCAAGGCGAUUACAGGUACGGGCUCUGAGAGGAGAAGCCCGGAGAUGGGUACUGAGACACGGACCCAGGCCCUAUGGGGCGCAGCAGGCGAGAAACCUUAGCAAUGUGCGAAAGCACGACUGGGUCAGUCCGAGUGAUUCCUGAUAAAGGAGUCUUUUGCUUGUCCUAAAAGCACAGGUGAAUAAGGGGUGGGCAAGUCUGGUGUCAGCCGCCGCGGUAAUACCAGCACCUCGAGUGGUCAGGACGUUUAUUGGGCCUAAAGCAUCCGUAGCCGGCUUUGCAAGUCUUCGGUUAAAUCCACCUGCUCAACAGAUGGGCCGCUGGAGAUACUACAGAGCUAGGGAGUGGGAGAGGCAGACGGUAUUCAGUGGGUAGGGGUAAAAUCCUCUGAUCCAUUGAGGACCACCAGUGGCGAAGGCGGUCUGCCAGAACACGUUCGACGGUGAGGGAUGAAAGCUGGGGGAGCAAACCGGAUUAGAUACCCGGGUAGUCCCAGCUGUAAACGAUGCAAACUCGGUGAUGCAUUGGCUUAUGGCCA
rnacentral:rRNA from 1 species